CCUACGGGAGGCAGCAGUGAGGAAUAUUGGUCAAUGGGCGGGAGCCUGAACCAGCCAAGCCGCGUGAGGGAAGAAGGUACAGCGUAUCGUAAACCUCUUUUGUCAGGGAACAAAGUCGGGGACUAGUCCCCGGAUGAGGGUACCUGAAGAAAAAGCAUCGGCUAACUCCGUGCCAGCAGCCGCGGUAAAACGGAGGAUGCGAGCGUUAUCCGGAUUGAUUGGGUUUAAAGGGUGCGCAGGCGGCCUGUUAAGUCAGCGGUAAAAGCCCGGGGCUCAACCCCGGCGAGCCGUUGAAACUGGCGGGCUGGAGUGGGAGAGUAGUACGUGGAAUGCGCGGUGUAGCGGUGAAAUGCUUAGAUAUCGCGCAGAACCCCGAUUGCGAAGGCAGCGUACCGGCUCCACACUGACGCUGAGGCACGAAAGCGUGGGUAUCGAACAGGAUUAGAUACCCUAGUAGUC
rnacentral:rRNA from 1 species